CUAUGAUACUUUUUCAUAAGGCCAAGUACAAGGUAUAAACAAUUGGUUUUCCCCAUGUGUAAAUGUGUUCUGCUAUAAUGACAGAUAUUAGGAAAAAUCUGGCUUUCAAAUUAUUCCAAAAGAUGACAGGAAACAAAAUAAACCUCACGAGGGAGCAUGCCUGGGACCCCACUAAACGGCUCCCACUUCAAUCCCCCCACUGUUCAAACCAAAACUAUGCCCUUGCAACCGAGGAAGACCCCCGCCUGGAGCGCGCUUACAACCGAGGGAGGGAACCCAGUUUAUAAGUCAUUGAGUUGAGUUUACUGGUACAAGAAUGCCUGCUGAGGUCCCAUCAUCCUCAGAUGCAUGCUGGGAAAAUUCCUCAAGCUGGAUGGAGGAGAAUUCACUAAUGGGCCGACGCUGUCCCAGCAACAGGGACGAAAGCAUGAUGUACAAUGUGUGAAACCCACGCACACACGCAAUGGUGACACAUGCAGACGUACUGUCUGAGCUUCCACACACUAAAAGCAUAACACCUUGGUCCUUUUAGUGUGUGUACAUUAAAAUAAAAACCCAUUAUCCAA